UUACCUUUAAUAAUAAACUAAGACCAUGAAAGCUCACAUGUUAAUUGCACACAAAAUAGUGGAGAAAACAAGGACAUCUUGAAUUCUUAACAAAUUUUUCCAAGCUGACGAUACGUUUGCUUCUAUUUCUCAAGCCCUUUAUAGUAUAACUAACUAAAGAGCACGCUUCAAGUUGACUAUAGAAAGAUAAUAAAAUCAGAAUUAAAGUCUAUAUUAAAGUAGACUUCAGUAAUAGCUCUAAGCAAAUAUUUCUCUUGAGGUGGGAGUUAAAAUGACAUUUUUAUUCAUAGUGCGAUCUGGCUUGUGAUUUGUCGUAUUUUUUUAAUGACAAAGGGUUAUCUUUUAUUGAUUGAAAAAGAAUUGAUUUUUUUUCCUGGACAGAGAAACAAAAUUCAUUUACAUUCUUACUUUUUUAAUUUUAGAAAUAAAAGCCAAGAAAUGCCCCAUUCCACGCACAAAGAACUGCUCCUUGGCAUCAUGGCGGGAACUGCUGGGAUCAGCUUGCUGGUCCUAUGGUACCACAAGAUCCUUAAGCCCAGGACAACAAUGAUUUUCCCCAAGUUUCUUUCUUUGGGUAAGAAAUCCGAUUCACUCACUUUGCAAGAUGAAAGCUAUAGUGAACAAGGAACAUCAGUGGUCUUUCAAAGGGGGCAGCUCCAGAUCCUGGAGAAGUUAAACGAGUUACUGACCAAUGUGGAGGAACUGAAGGAGGAGAUCAAAUUCCUUAAAGAGACGAUUCCAAAGCUGGAGGAAUGUAUACAAGAUGAACUUGGAGUGAGGGUAACAGUUCAUCAGGUCAGUCCUCAGCACAGAGCUAGAAAAAAGAAGACAACGACGACGACAGUCCAACGUCCAGCUACAAGCAAUAGUUCAGAGGAGGCAGAAAGUGAAGGAGGGCACUGUCUGAACUCUGGACACACAACUGAGAACCAAUCAGUCCCGUAACUUCAACCACUUUCCUUUAAGAUGAAGCAGGAUGCUGAAGAGGGAUGCUCUCAGGCAUUUUACCACGAGAGGCCCCAAAGGUGAAGGCGCACACAGAGCAUUCCCAGUGCUUAGCAUCCCGUGUAAUUAGGUGCUCGCUUGACCCACCUGGCAAAGACAAGGACUUGCCGAGAGACUGAAGGUGUCACCCAUGCGAACACUGACUCACCUGCAGCUGUGAAAGGAGACUGCUGCAGAGCAGAGACGCUCUUCCCAUGGUGAGCAUCCCAGCAGAAUGCUUGCCAAGCCCGGAUUCUGUAGGAAUGGGUGUUGUUAAUAAAGCGCAUGUGCAGUGUGGGCAGAGAAGAGCUGCACGCACAGCCUCUGGGGCCAGUGCUGCUGGGAUGGGUGGAAGCACAGGACACUGAGAGCUGCUGGGACAAGUGUGUCCUCAGGUGAGACCAGCCCGGAGCACACCAGCAGAGGACUGAGGAGCCAAGGGAGAGGAAGCUCUCAAGAGCAGCAGUGAGGCCCUGUGCUUUCGUCCAGCGGACACAAGCAUGCAUCAUGGCUCCUUCUUACCUGCAUACAUGAUGCCAGUUUCCCAACCCUGAAUUCUGUCCUUAAAGUGAGCCACUGAGAUGGCUCAGAGGGUAAGGCCUUUGCCACACAAGCCUGACCACCUGUGCCCGACCCCUGGAGCCCAACUUAAGAGACAACCAACCCCCUGAGGCGGUCCUGUGACCUCCACCUACAUGCCGUCUGUCAUGGUAUUCACACCCCAACCCCAGACAGACAUUCAGUAGCAACAAACAAAACUAUUUUAAUUAAAAUGUGGU
rnacentral:lncRNA from 1 species